rnacentral:rRNA from 1 species
GAUGAACGCUGGCGGCGUGCCUAAUACAUGCAAGUCGAGCGAACGGACGAGAAGCUUGCUUUUCUGAUGUUAGCGGCGGACGGGCGAGUAACACGUGGAUAACCUACCUAUAAGACUGGGAUAACUUCGGGAAACCGGAGCUAAUACCGGAUAAUAUUUUGAACCGCAUGGUUCAAAAGUGAAAGACGGUCUUGCUGUCACUUAUAGAUGGAUCCGCGCUGCAUUAGCUAGUUGGUAAGGUAACGGCUUACCAAGGCAACGAUGCAUAGCCGACCUGAGAGGGUGAUCGGCCACACUGGAACUGAGACACGGUCCAGACUCCUACGGGAGGCAGCAGUAGGGAAUCUUCCGCAAUGGGCGAAAGCCUGACGGAGCAACGCCGCGUGAGUGAUGAAGGUCUUCGGAUCGUAAAACUCUGUUAUUAGGGAAGAACAUAUGUGUAAGUAACUGUGCACAUCUUGACGGUACCUAAUCAGAAAGCCACGGCUAACUACGUG